AGCGAACGCUGGCGGCAGGCCUAACACAUGCAAGUCGAACGGAUCCUUCGGGAUUAGUGGCGGACGGGUGAGUAACACGUGGGAACGUGCCCUUUGGUUCGGAACAACUCAGGGAAACUUGAGCUAAUACCGGAUGUGCCCUUCGGGGGAAAGAUUUAUCGCCAUUGGAGCGGCCCGCGUCUGAUUAGCUAGUUGGUGAGGUAAAGGCACACCAAGGCGACGAUCAGUAGCUGGUCUGAGAGGAUGAUCAGCCACAUUGGGACUGAGACACGGCCCAAACUCCUACGGGAGGCAGCAGUGGGGAAUCUUGCGCAAUGGGCGAAAGCCUGACGCAGCCAUGCCGCGUGAAUGAUGAAGGUCUUAGGAUUGUAAAAUUCUUUCACCGGGGACGAUAAUGACGGUACCCGGAGAAGAAGCACCGGCUAACUACGUGCCAGCCGCCGCCGUAA
rnacentral:rRNA from 1 species